ACCUCUCUGCCUAUCUGGAGCAGCCUGGAGUUCCUGUCCCUGCUGUAAAGAUGCUGAUUUGUUGCAUCUUCUGGGUCCUGUGUGCUGACGGCUAUGUGAGCUGUCCAAUCAGGUGCAGUGACAUCACUGCCACAUAAUCACACUGGAUUGUGACACCACAGAGUUCCAAAUUCCUGGAGGAGAGAGGUCCAAGGAGGAGCCUCUGCUGCUUGGAGACUCAGGAGCUAGUGCGGCAUCCGUUGUUCUCUGACCUUUUCCACCCAACACAGCCCAUCUCAUAUGCCUGGGAAUGGUGAUGAUAGCAUUUGAAGAGCUUGCUGUGUACUUUACCUGGGAGGAAUGGCAGAACAUGAACCAAGCUCAGAAAAUCCUGUACAGGGAUGUGAUGCUGGAGACCUACAGCAGCCUGUCCUCUGUGGGACACUGCGUGAACAAACCUGACUUGAUCUUCAAGUUGGAGCUAGGAGCAGAGCCCUGGAUGGGGGAAGAAUGCCUACAUCAGAGCCUUCCAGGUCAGUCUGCACAUUUCGGGCAGGGAGGCCAAGGUAGAAACAGUGU